AUCGGAUAUUUAAUCGGAAAUAAAAUAUAACAUCGGUCUCAAAUUAACCUACUCUUUAAUUUAUGUUAUGACCUUUAAAAUAGUUCUGCUGAUAAGCAUAGAUAUCUGUUGUUCAUAUAGUCGUUAAUUGAUCGGUAAAUAUGCAAACAAAUUUCAAUUUGCUUAUCAUCGAAAAGGUUUUUCAAGAUUGUACAACCAUAGAUGCAUUUGUUAAUUCAUUAAACGAGCUUCUAUCAAUUGUAAAGGGAGGUGUAGACAAUACUGAAUUGGUACUGUUUAAAUCCAUAAAUUUAGAAUCUGUGAAAGAGGUUUUUUUUACAUACCGUUUAAAAGAGAUUUAUAAAUGUAUAUUUAUUGCAACAAACAAAUUAAACUGUUUAAAAAGUUCAUAUAGAUUUUUUAACGAAUUUAAUAAAGAGAUUGUGAAGGUGUGUCCAAAAUAUAUACUUAUAUGUUUUUUGGAAAUGUUAUCAGACGAAAGACAUCCUGCAAUUCAGAGUUGUAUAGCAAAUUUAAUUGGAAGUCUAUUUGAAAACAACUAUCUUUUUUCUUUGAUAUGGAAUGAAUGUUUGUUAUUUCCAAUCAGCAUAGUAAAUAAUACCUCUAUUUUUGAACAAAAAGUGAACGAAUGGUGGGAUGAUAUUUUAAAAGUUCUUGUAUCUGUUCCAGACAGAAUUUCAAAUAUACUGAAGCAUAAAACAAACAAUAUAUUUCUGCCAAAUGUGUAUUUUUUAAAUUUGUCUGAAGUGGUACUUGAGGUUCUAAGAAAAAUACAUGAAUUUUUGCAAAAUUCAAGAGAUUGUUCACUUGGUUUCCUAAGUCGUCUUGUUGGAAAAAUUUGCAUUGUUGGUUAUGCAGAAAUUUUAUACAAGAGUGUAUUACCUUUCAUUUCAAUAUGGGUUUGUGAAAGUCCAUUGUGGAGAAGAAUAUGUUCAAAAUUAUUUAUUAAUAUACCUGAUCCUGCUCUUGAUGCAGUUAUAGAACCACUUAUUAAGAAUUGUCAUAAUUCAGAUAUUCUUUCUGCAUUAUUUGGAAAUUCAAUAUUAUCAAAGCCUGUUCUAAAGUUUCUACUGACACACAAAUAUUUGUUUGUACGGACAUAUGAAAAUGAUACAACAUUGCUUAUUUUAAUAAAGUAUCUUGCUGGUAAUGAAGCAAUCGAGUCUAUUUUUAAAGAGGUUUUAAUAAAAACAAUUGAUAUAUGGGGGAAGAGAAGUUCCAUAAAACACUCAUCUUAUGCACAGCAUUUAUACCUGAGUAAAUGUAUUCUUAUAUCAUUAGGGUGCUUAAAUGAAAAGCAACGGAAUCUUUGGAGAUCUGAAAUGGUUCUAAAAAUGAUGGAUGGAGUACCUGCUCACCUUGAAAGUCCUGAUUCAAAGCUACACCAACUUGGAAUGAUUGUUGCUGAGUCAUUGACACAUGUUUUUGAUCGUGAGAAGCAUCUAAAAUUUGAUCUUGAAAGAACAGAUGAAGUUAAGUAUUUAUGUGAACUUGCUAAUGAUCCUGAAAAUGCCAUUAGAUCUAAAAUAAGCAACUAUAAGAAGUUUGAUGAAAAGGAUUUGAGCUACACUAAGAGUUUUGAUUCAAUAAACAUGGAAACAACUAAUCACACUAAGAGUUUUGAUCCGAUAAAAGUUGAAUCGUCUGAAGAGUUAGAUAGUGAUGAUGACCUUGUUCCUAUAAACCCAAAUAAUGAAGAACUUGAAGAAAAUGUUAAUGGAGUGAAACCUCCUAGAUACUUAAGAGACUGCAUUACAGGUUUAAGAAGUAAAGAAGAACCUAAUCACAUAGAGGCAUCUUUAAAAGCUCUUGAAAAACUUGUAAAAUCAGAACCGGGUGAUUUGUCUGAUGUUUGUGUUGAACUUGUUCAAAUACUUAUUCACUUGGAAGAUCAGUUUUGCAUCAGUAACUUUAUUGAGAUGAAAAUGGCAUCAUUGGUUUCAAUAUGUGUUAAGUGUCCUAUUAAAGUUGCUCAAUAUUUAUCACAUGAGUUUUAUGAAGAAAAUUAUAGUAUAACACAACGUAUUACUAUUUUAGAGGUUAUUGCAUCAGCUGCAACUAAGUUAUCAAAACCGUUAUCAGAUGAUCCUGAUUCUUUCAGAGAGCAUUUAAUGUCGAUGCCACAUUUGCAAAUAGAAAAUAAGAUUGCUGAGUGGAGAUUAGUUGUUGAUGAAAGGAUUAAAACAAAAACAAAAAGAAAGGUUGGUCAUAGUAACAAAUCAGUAACAGUACAUUUAAAUCGCUUUAAUGAAGUUGCAGGAUAUUUCUUCUUUCCUUUACUAAACAAAUUUGGAGGGAAAAUUAAAACUUUAGACAUGCUGGGUGAUGACAGUUUUAUACUGGGAAAAUUUAUAUACACUCUUGCAACAGUGCUUAUGGCUGCUCAAAAUUUACCUAUAGCAGAAUUAAUGGGUCAUCAAUUGUUAGAAUUAAUAUGGACACUGAGAUUUCAUAGAGAAGCGUUUGUACGUCAGUCAGUUCUUUUUGCUUUAAGUAUGCUUGUAAUGAAUAUGUCUACCCAGACGAUGUUUACUAAAUUGCAUGUAGAAAUGUGUGAAGCAAAAGAAUGGUUAACUGGAUUGUUAAAUCAUGAAUUAAAUGCAGAAUGUAGAACGUUAGCUGUUUCUUGUCUACAUUUAAUGCAGAGAAGAAUCAAUCAAGAAAUGCCUAGUGGUUUAUUCUAGUUUACUUUAUGGACAGAAUUUAACUUGUUCAUUAUCUUUAUUGGUGAAUGAAAGAUAUUUAAAAGUGUAUAAAAUGAAUGAAGAGAGAAAUAGUGUUUGGGAAUUCACCAAAGAUGGCGGGCAAAUGCUAGCAAAAUUAAGAGUUGAUUUGGUCCGACCUGAUGAUCAAAAUGUAUUUGGAAUGGUAGAUAGUUUUAAAAAAGAG